rnacentral:rRNA from 1 species
AGUGAACGCUGGCGGUAGGCCUAACACAUGCAAGUCGAACGGCAGCACAGUAAGAGCUUGCUCUUACGGGUGGCGAGUGGCGGGCGGGUGAGGAAUACAUCGGAAUCUACUUUUUCGUGGGGGAUAACGUAGGGAAACUUACGCUAAUACCGCAUACGACCUACGGGUGAAAGCAUGGGAUCUUCGGACCUUGCGCGAUUGAAUGAGCCGAUGUCGGAUUAGCUAGUUGGCGGGGUAAAGGCCCACCAAGGCGACGAUCCGUAGCUGGUCUGAGAGGAUGAUCAGCCACACUGGAACGGAGACACGGUCCAGACUCCUACGGGAGGCAGCAGUGGGGAAUAUUGGACAAUGGGCGCAAGCCUGAUCCAGCCAUACCGCGUGGGUGAAGAAGGCCUUCGGGUUGUAAAGCCCUUUUGUUGGGAAAGAAAAGCAGCAGGUUAAUACCCCGCUGUUCUGACGGUACCCAAAGAAUAAGCACCGGCUAACUUCGUG